CCCUUAGACGUUCUGGGCCGCACGCGCGCUACACUGACACAGGCAACGAGCUUUCCUUUACCGAAAGGUAUGGGUAAUCUUUUGAAACUGUGUCGUGCUGGGGAUAGAUCCUUGCAAUUUUUGAUCUUAAACGAGGAAUUCCUAGUAAGUGCAAGUCAACAGCUUGCGUUGAUUACGUCCCUGCCCUUUGUACACACCGCCCGUCGCUACUACUGAUUGGAUGUUUAAGCGAGGUUCUCGAACUGCUAGUGACUGAUCUUCGGUGAGGUCGCAGUGUGGGAAGUGAACCUAGCUUUGGUGUCUAGAGGAAGUAAAAGUCGUAACA
rnacentral:rRNA from 1 species